ACCCGUCUAGCUAUGGUAGGCGCUGGCCUUUUAAGCCAGUGGUCGUGGGUUCGAUCCCCACGGGGGGUG
rnacentral:tRNA from 1 species